CACGUAGGGCGCAAGCGUUGUCCGGAAUUAUUGGGCAUAAAGAGCUCGUAGGCGGUCUGUUGCGUCCGCUGUGAAAACCCGGGGCUUAACCCCUGGCUUGCAGUGGAUACGGACAGACUAGAGGUAGGUAGGGGAGAAUGGAAUUCCCGGUGUAGCGGUGAAAUGCGCAGAUAUCGGGAGGAACACCGGUGGCGAAGGCAGCUCUCUGGGACGGUACUGACGCUGAGACGCGAAAGCGUGGGGAGCGAACAGG
rnacentral:rRNA from 1 species